rnacentral:rRNA from 1 species
CAAAGGUAGCGUAAUCAUUUGUCUAUUAAUUGUAGACCAGUAUGAAAGGCAAAAUGAGGGUCUAUCUGUCUCUUGCAAUAAAUCAAUUAAACUGAUCUCCUAGUAAAAAAGCUAGAAUCCCCACAUAAGACCAGAAGACCCUGUGAAGCUUAAACUAAACUAUUAAACCCUAUAAUACUUACUUUCGGUUGGGGCGACCUUGGAAAAAAAAAGAACUUCCAAACAUAUGACCACACUCAUACAUAGGCCCACAAGCCUCAUAUAGACCCAGUACAACUGAUAAUUGAACCAAGUUACUCCAGGGAUAACAGCGCCAUCUUCUUCAAGAGUCCAUAUCAAAAAGAAGGUUUACGACCUCGAUGUUGGAUCAGGACAUCCUAAUGGUGCAGCCGCUAUUAAGGGUUCGUUUGUUCAACGAUUAAUAGU